UGGGGAAUAUUGCACAAUGGGGGAAACCCUGAUGCAGCCAUGCCGCGUGUGUGAAGAAGGCCUUCGGGUUGUAAAGCACUUUCAGCGAGGAGGAAAGGUUGAUGCCUAAUACGCAUCAGCUGUGACGUUACUCGCAGAAGAAGCACCGGCUAACUCCGUGCCAGCAGCCGCGGUAAUACGGAGGGUGCAAGCGUUAAUCGGAAUUACUGGGCGUAAAGCGCACGCAGGCGGUUGGAUAAGGUAGAUGGGAAAGCCCCGGGCUCAACCUGGGAAUUGCAUUUAAAACUGUCCAGCUAGAGUCUUGUAGAGGGGGGUAGAAUUCCAGGUGUAGCGGUGAAAUGCGUAGAGAUCUGGAGGAAUACCGGUGGCGAAGGCGGCCCCCUGGACAAAGACUGACGCUCAGGUGCGAAAGCGUGGGGAGCAAACA
rnacentral:rRNA from 1 species